rnacentral:lncRNA from 1 species
GGUACGCCAGACUCGGAAUGGUGCGAGACUUUGCGAGGCUCCUCCGUGUGCCAAAAAUAGGCCACGGGCACAGCCGCGCCCAAAAAUAACCGCCCGAAGGCUUGGGCGCCAAGUUCGUCCAGCGGAAAAAGGCCACAAAAACGGGUGGGCUCUAGCCUUGGGGGGUGGGGCUGGCCAACUACGUCCACCGGACUCGGAAUGGCGGGAGACUUUGCGAGGCGCCUCCGUAUGCCAAAAAUAGGCAGCGGGCACAGCCGCGCCCAAACAUAACCACCUGAAGGCCGGGGUGCCAAGUUCGUCCAACGGAAAAAGGCCACAAAAACGGGUGGGCUCUAGCCUUGGGGGGUGGGGCUUGCCAACUUCGUCCGCCGAACUCGGAAUGGCGCGAGACAUUGCGAGGCCGCACCGUGUGCCAAAAAUAUGCAGCGGGCACAGCCGCGCCUAAACAUAACCGCCCGAAGGCCGGGGAGCCAAGUUCGUCCAGCGGAAAAAGGCCACAAAAACGGGUGGGCUAUAGCCUUGGGGGGUGGGGCUGGCCAACUUCGUCCGCCGAACUUGGAAUGGCGCGACACUUUGCGAGGCACCUCCGUGUGCCAAAAAUAGGCCGCGGGCACAGCCGCGCCUAAACAUAACCGCCCGAAGGCCGGGGCGCCUAUUUCGUCCAGCGGAAAAACGCCACAAAAACGGGUGGGCUAUAGCCUUGGGGGGUGGGCUAUAGCCUUGGUGGGCGGGACUGGCCAACUUCGUCCGCCGGACUCGGAAUGGCACGAGACUUUGCGAGGCGCCUCCGUGUGCCAAAAAUAGGCCAUGGGCACAGCCGCGCCCAAACAUAACCGCCCGAAGGCCGGGGCGCCAAGUUCGUCCAGCGGAAAAAGGCCACAAAAACGGGUGGGCUAUAGCCUUGGUGGGUGGGGCUGGCCAACUUCGUCCGCCGGACUCGGAAUUCCGCGAGACUUUGCGAGGCGCCUCCGUGUGCCAAAAAUAGGCCGCGGACACAGCCGCGUCCAAAAAUAACUGCCCGAAGGCCGGGGCGCCAAGUUCGUCCAGCGGAAAAAGGACACAAAAACGGGUGGGCUAUAGCCUUGGGGGGUGGGGCUGGCCAACUUCGUCCGCCGGACUCGGAAUGCCACAAGACUUUGCGAGGGGCCUCCGUGUGCCAAAAACAGGCCGCGGGCAAAACCGUGCCCAAAAAUAACCGCCCGAAGGCUGGGGCGCCACGUUCGUCCGGCGGAAAAAGGCCACAAAAACGGGUGGGCUAUAGCCUUGGGGGGUGGGGCUGGCCACCUUCGUCCGCCGGACUCGGAAUGCAUCGAGACUUUAUGAGGGGCCUCCGUGUUCCAAAAAUAGGCCGCGGGCAAAGCCACGCCCAAAAAUAACCGCCCGAAGGUCGGGGCGCCAAGUUCGUCCCGCGGAAAGAGGCCACAAAAACGGGUGGGCUAUAGCCUUAGGGGGUGGGGCUAGCCAACUUCGUCCGCCGGACUCGGAAUGCAUCGAGACUUUGAGAGGGGCCUCCCUGUGCCAAAAAUAGGCCGCGCGCAAAACCGCGCCCAAAAAUAACCGCCCGAAGGCCGGGGCGCCAAGUUCGUCCAGCUGAAAAAGGCCACAAAAACGGGUGGGCUAUAGCCUUGGGGGGUGGGGUUGGCCAACUUCGUCCGCCGGACUCGGAAUGCCGCAAGACUUUGCGAGGGGCCUCCGUGUGCCAAAAAUAGGCUGCGGGUAAAGCCGCGCCCAAAAAUAACUGCCCGAAGGCCGGGGCGCCAAGUUCGUCCAGCUGAAAAAGGCCACAAAAACGGGUGGGCUAUAGCCUUGGGGGGUGGGGCUCGCCAACUUCGUCCGCCGGACUCGGAAUGCAUCGAGACUUUGAGAGGGGCCUCCCUGUGCCAAAAAUAGGCCGCGAGCAAAGCCGCGCCCAAAAAUAACCGCCGGAAGGCCGGGGCGCCAAGUUCGUCCAGCGGAAAAAGGCCACAAAAACGGGUGGGCUAUAGCCUUGGGGGGUGGGGUUGGCCAACUUCGUCCGCCGGACUCGGAAUGCCGCAAGACUUUGCGAGGGGCCUCCGUGUGCCAAAAAUAGGCCGCGGGUAAAGCCGCACCCAAAAAUAACAGCCCGAAGGCCUGGGUGCCAAGUUCGUCCAACUGAAAAAGGCCACAAAAACGGGUGGGCUAUAGCCUUGGGGGGUGGGGCUGGCCAACUUCGUCCGCCGGACUCGGAAUGGCGCGAGACAUUGCGAGGGGCCUCCCUGUGCCAAAAAUAGGCCGCACGCAAAACCGCGCCCAAAAAUAACCGCCUGAAGGCCGGGGCGCCAAGUUCGUCCAGCGGAAAGAGGCCACAAAAACAGGUGGGCUAUAGCCUUGGGGGGUGGGGAUGGCCAACUUCGUCCGCCGGACUCGGAAUGCCGCGAGACUUUGCGAGGGGCCUCCAUAUGCCAAAAAUAGGCCGCGACCAAAGCCGCACCCAAAAAUAACCGUCCGAAGGCCGGGGCGCCAAGUUCGUCCGCCGGACUUGGAAUGGCGCGAGACUUUGCGAGGGUCCUCCGUGUGCCAAAAACAGGCCGCGGGCAAAGCUGCGCCCAAAAAUAACCACCCGAAGGCCGGGGCGCCAAGUUCGUCCAGCGGAAAGAGGCCACAAAAACGGGUGGGCUAUAGCCUUGGGGGGUGGGGCUGGCCAACUUCGUCCGCCGGACUCGGAAUGGCGCGAGACUUUGCGAGGGGCCUCCCUGUGCCAAAAAUAGGCCGCGCACAAAACCGCGCCCAAAAAUAACUGCCCGAAGGCCGGGGCGCCAAGUUCGUCCAGCGGAAAGAGGCCACAAAAACGGGUGGGCUAUAGCCUUGGGGGGUGGGGAUGGCCAACUUCGUCCGGCGGACUCGGAA